UCUGCCUUGGAGCCAGCCGAUUAUAGACUGAAACCUCUACAAACUGUGAGCUAAAUAAACCUUUCCUCCUUUAACUGUGGGUGUUGGGUAGUUUGCCUCACCAGUGAGAGAAAAGUAACUAAGACACAGGGGUUGUCUGCUGCCACCCACUUUAGAGGGGCAGAGAGCACGGGAAAAGCAUGGUGGUUCAUGCCUAUAAUCCCAGUACUUGGAAGGCUGAGGCAGGAUUGAGUUGAGUCCGGCCUGGGCUUCAUAAUGAGAUCAGAGCCAGCCUGAACUACAUAGUAAGACCUUGUCUCAAACAGACAAAUAGAGCAGGGGAAUCAUGUCAGAGUGAGAUGGCCAGGUCAACAAGUAGUCUUCAUCACUUUAAUUGACUGUCCCCGGACAGAAUCAGGACAAAUGAUUACCCGUACAUGCAAAAAUGGCUGGGAAAUGUAAUUUACAAGGUUCCUAGGUAGAAAACAAAGAAGGUUUUACUAAAAAAUAAAUAAAAAUUAAAAUGGUAAAGUGAUAAAUUAAAUUUUACAAUAAAAUUAAGAUUAUUUGUAGGAUUAAAUAAUCAAUAGUCUUCAAAAAUUGAUUGAAGCCAUUCCUGACUUCUUUCAUAUCCUACAAUCAAAUUAAUUAGCAAAUCGUGUCAGGUGUACCUUCACAAUAUAUAUAGGAUCUGAUUCACCCUUUCCACCUCCAAGGCUUCUGUCUUCUUAUCCACAGUCCAUUUUUAACAGUUGCCAUUGUAGUCUUUUUUCUUUUCUUUGCAACACUGGACAUUAAACCCAGGGCCUUUGCACUGAGCUACAACCCCAGUUCUUUUGGUUUUAUUUUGAGAUAGGGCCUCACUAAGUUGCUAUGUUGCCCAGGAUGAGCUCCAAUUUGCAAUCCUCCUGCCUCAGCCUUCCAGAAUGCCUUCCAGAAUGUUAGAGGAUUACAGUCCUCUAACACUACAACCAGCUAGUAACUCUUUUAAACACCAUGCCUAUUUUAAACACAUCAAGUCAGUCCUCAAAAGCCUCCAAUAUCUCUGUGGUUCCCUCAUUUCAGAGGAAUAGCUCACAUGGCCGUAUGGGACCUGCCCCAAACCUCACCCUAGUCUACUCCAAAUUUCUCUGAUCACGACUCUUACUCCCAUCCCAACCCUCUGAGCUCCCUUUGCUCAGGCUACACAGACUUCCUUGCUGUUCUUGCAUAUGCCAUGUGUGCUUCCUCCAUGGGGCUUUGUUGUCAUUGUCCAUAUUGUUGCUCAAGAGUCAAUGAAGCUGACCCUAGUCUCUUGGUAUAAAAGAGCAAUAUGCAAUCUCCAGCCAUUUUCCCUAUUUUUCUCCAUAAUGUUUGCACCAUGUGACAUAUAUAUUCUUGUUAAACUCAGCAUUGCCUGACUUCUGCUGUCAUAAUGAGAGUGGGGAUUUUAGAUUCGCUAGAACAGCAUCUGGCAUAUAGAAGGUGCUUAAUAAACAUUUGCUAAAUGAAUGGUGAAUUACUGCAAACAUUCUGAAACAUUGAAAAAUAAAGGACUGGUUAAAUAAGCUGGGAUAAUACACUGAAGGGUCAGACAGAUGAGAUAGAAGCCCAAAGGAGAAAAUAAAAACAGGAUGUAGUUCUGUAUCUCAGAGGAAGUGCUGGAAAUACUAAUUUCUAAAGAGGUAACAGUUAUUUUUCUUUCCCAAUUGGUUUCUGAAAUCGUAGGAUAAGGAAGUUUCUCAUGAUAACAUGUAUUGUCACAUUUAUCAACUGCUUUUAUGGUUUAAAGGUUCUCUGUGAAGUGUAUUUGUGUGUGUAUUUCUGUGGUCAUCUCCAAGGCUAAAAGAAGUUUUUGUUUAUUUUUUAAGGACUUUAAAAAAGUUAACUUGUCCUUUGCAAAUUUAUUUGUCAACUUAGACUGCCAUAGGAAAACACCACUGACUGCACAGUCUAAAUAUUUCUUUCCCAUUUCCUACCUUGAGGAUAUGAAUAUAGUUUCUCUCUGGGCCACAGCUUCUGCCUCCCUUGUCUAGUUUGAUCCUUCUCAAGUGAGCAGACACACGAGGAAUUAGAAGGACUCACUUGGUUACUCUUACAAUCUUUCUUUUGCUGUUUGACACUAAUUCUUGCCACCCCUGACAUAUAUGGACAAUGCCCUCUCGAUGGGAGGUGCUCAAACUUAGGAUUUCUAGAGACCCAUAUAUGAGUUCUUUCAAAAGCCUUUCUAAUACACAGGAUUGUGCUUUUCUUCCAAACCUACUCAGCUCUUGCAUUUACUGGUAUACUCAAGGGCUCUUGCUAUCGGUUACUUUUUGUUGUUGUUUUUCAUCCACUGCUUAACUUUUUGUAUUAGUGUCUGCAUGAUGGCCCAAGGCUAGCUAUUUUUUGUGGUGCUCACUUGGCCUACUAGAAACUCACAUGUUCUCACCAAAACAGAAGUGAUAGCUGAGCUACACCCCAGGCCUCUCUGAUUAAUCUGCCAUCAUUCUCCACUUUCAUUUUCUUAUUCACAUAGACUUUGAGAAGAUCAGUUAGUGAAUGUGUUAAUUUGAUGUACAACUAGAAAAUGAGACUUGUGACAGUUAAGCCUAACAAUUUGAUUGACUUCACAGCUGCCUAAGGGAUUAGCAAAGCACACUUCUGGAUGUGUCUAGGUCAGACAUGGAGGCAUGAGCUUGAGUAAUAUACAGUAUCUGGUCACCCUGCCCCUCCUCUCUGGUGCUCUUGCCCUGCUCUGCUUCCUGCCAUGAACUGAGCAGCUUUGCUCCGCCAUGCCCUUCUGUCAUGAUGUUCCUGCCUAGGAGCCAGAAAAUCACAGACUGAAACAUCUGAGAUCAGAAGUCAAAUAAACCAUUUCAUCCUUUAAAUUGUGGGUGCCAGGCAUUUGGUUCCAGCAGCAGAAAGGAUGACUAAUAUCAGGUGCUAGUUUUCCAUUUUGCAGAUACCUCCAGACAUCGCAAGUGACUCCCUCAGAGCCCUUCUUACUUGGCUUUUUUGGGGGAGGGUGGGAGAAAGCCCCAGAAGUACUCCCUAAGUCAACAAAUAAUGAACCCAAUAAUUCCUAUUUUUCUUUUCUCCAUUCUCUUGGUUAUAAGCCCUGGGAUAAUUGUGGUUUUGAGGGGCCACUCCUGGUGAUUUCUUAUAUGGGGAACAUCAUGCUUUUAUGUCCUCAUCUUUGGACCACAGCUGUGUUUUGGAUCAAUGGGGAGAAUUUUAUACAACUUCAAGUUAUAAAUCCUCUACAGGCCUUUGUGUUCUACCAUUUGCAUUUCACUCCUUUCUUUUGUGGAGUCUGUAGAACUUAUAUUUUACUCUUAUUAGUAUCCUAUGAGAUGCAGGGAAGCUAUCCAAUUCUUCUGACAAAAUUGAGACAGUUCAGGGAAGCUAGGAGUAAUUAAGUGGAAAAAAAUGUUACUGAGCACUAGGGAUGUAUAUGGUGCUAUUUUCAACACUAUGAAGGAAACAAGUAGCCUGUGCCCAUGUGUACAUUUAAAUAGAAUGGAAACUGUUAUUAAGUAAUAUGAACAUGGUUAAAAAGUGUCAUGCAAAUAUAGCAGAGAAAAAAUAAUUCCAACUAGACCAUCUGAAUGGGACUUUGACUGCAGUCAAGCUUGUAUUUAUUUAUUUAAUCCAUUUAUUUUUGUUGAAUUAGGAAUUAAACCCAGGGCCUUUGCACUGAGCCACAUUCCAAGCCCUUUUUGUUUUUUAUUUUGAAACAAAGUCUUGCUAAGUUGUGAAGUUGCCCAGGCUGGGUUCAAACUUGCAGCCUCCCAGAGUGCUAAAAUUACAGGUGUGUACCACCAUAUUUUUCUUAGUCAAACCUUUAACCCUCUUUUUUUUUUGUAAAAUGCUGUACCCUUUUCCUGAUUGGCCUUAUUCUCUCAGGUUUAUAACUGUCUGCUGGAGAAGGAAAUAAAAUCCUUUGGAGCUUAAGGUAAAGCUAUUUACCCUGCCCUUGGUGGAGUAUCCACUCUGUAGUUUUCCUAUCCUAAGAGCUAGCUUCUUGCCUUUCCAAGGUAUGAGUGCAAUGGAGGGACCCUACUCCAAGACUGCCAUGCAAUGGAGAAGCCUGGGGUGAAAGUGCAUUUGGAGAGAAAGGCCCAGCCAUACAUUUCUUGUGAAAUGUAAAUUCCUGUUUAACUUGGACAUGAUAGUGGCCCUCAAGACUCCUUUGUAGGCAUUUCCAAAACACCCAGGAGCCUUUAUAUUAAAUACAAUCCCUUAGGCCUGCUAUGAUAUCCUAAAGUUUUUGUAUUAAGCAUGCGGAUUACACACUGAGAUUGCACCUACAAGGCAGAUAUAAAUAGAUUAAUGAGUUAAAAAUACAGUCUAGCGCAUUGUGUGCUUCUAUCUUAGUUUAUUGAUGCCUGUCCUUUGCUUUCCCUUCAAAUAGAAUUCAAGAGAGUUGUAAAAAAGCAAAAGCUUAUAUUUAAUGGCAAAUCUAUGUACUAAGUGCUGAUUCCAUAUAUUUCCUUAUUUAGUUAUUAUAAGUGCUUCAGAAGGGGAGUAUAUUAUCUCUUUUUUACAGAUUAAUUUGAGAAAUGAGGUGUAGAGACAUUAAUCUAGCCUAAGAUCACCACUCAGAAGUAGUAGAUUCAAACAUAAUUAAUUUUAUCUGAAUACCAAGACUGAAUUCCUUGCAGCACAGAGAAAAGUCAGGAUUAAAACACAGUAGUUGCAUUUUGAUGUGCACUCAAGAAAGAAGUUAUAAUUUUUACAAGAACACAAUUAAUGAAUAUAUUUUAUAUUACAUAGAUAUCCAUAAAAAUAUACUUCUCAGACAGACUUCAGAAUUUCAUAUUGAACUUCUUGUCAAAAGCAUGGUGCCUGGGAUUUGGCUCAGUGGUGCCACCGCCUGCCCCACAAGUGCAAGGUCCUGAGUUUGAUCCCUGGUACCCCCCUAAAAAAGCAUGGUGUAUCAUAAGGAACUCUUCUUUAUCUUUCUGUGUGCUUUUCUUAGAUGAAAUUUUAUUUGUAGUUGUGCUGGAUCACUAUAUAAGGCUCUUAAUGAAUCACACCUCCCUAUAGCCACACCCCUUUGCAUGGUCUACUGUUAUAUCUUCCAUCAAAAGACUGAAUUUAUCCCCUGCUGCUUCAAUGAUUGGGUCCUGUGACUUAUUCUGACCAAGAGCAUAUGGCAAGUGUAACCUUGUACAUGUUCCAAAACCUUGGGCUUAGAUGGCCUUGCAGCAUCAGCUCUUGCUCUCCAGGGACCCUAUUCUGAGACUGCCAUGCAAUGGAGAAGCCCAGGAUGAAAGUGCAUUUGGAGAGAGAGGCCCAGCCAUCCAGCCUUCUCAGCUGAACCCAGUCUCCAGCUGACCCACUAGCUGAGAGCCUCUCUGCCUAAGUGGAUCUCUGCAGGCAGCCAGCCAAUGUUGGAAGACGAGAAGCCAGUAAAGCUAAAAGAGCUGAGAAGAAAUUUCUGUUGGUGAUUACAGAAUGGGAAAGGACCAGUUCCCUGUUGCCUGUAAUGUGAGACGUAUGUUACUGAAUGAAACUUUUAUCUGCAUGGCAGAAAAUGCCUGUUAUGAACUUUUUGAUUUCACUAAAAUAAUUCUGUGGAGAAUAUAAAAA